AGGAUUAGGGAACGUGGGGGGAACCUUGUUCCGCCCUGCCCGCGUUGUGUUGAAGAAGGCCUUAUGGUUGUAAAGCACUUUAAGCGAGGAGGAGGCUACUUUAGUUAAUACCUAGAGAUAGUGGACGUUACUCGCAGAAUAAGCACCGGCUAACUCUGUGCCAGCAGCCGCGGUAAU
rnacentral:rRNA from 1 species